CCUACGGGAGGCAGCAGUGAGGAAUAUUGGACAAUGGGAGCYAUCCUGAUCCAGCCAUGCCGCGUGCAGGAAGACUGCCCUAUGGGUUGUAAACUGCUUUUACAGAGGAAGAAUCGCCAUUACGUGUAAUGGUUUGACGGUACUCUGGGAAUAAGGAUCGGCUA
rnacentral:rRNA from 1 species